rnacentral:lncRNA from 1 species
GCCCCCCCCACCCUAAAGCUUCCCCCCCCACCUGAAAACCAACCCCCCCGGCCCUAUAGCGCCCCCAUCCCCCGCCAUCCCCUGCGCUGGGCCGUAUCCCCCCCCCCCCGCUGACCCCAAAUACCGGCCGUGCCUUGUCCCCACCCCCGGCCCCAUAUGGGCUGUGCCCUGUCCCGGUUCCGACCCCAUAAAGGCCGUGCCUUGUCCCGGUUCCGUCCCUAUAUCGCCCAUGCUUUGUCCCGGUUCCAUCCCCAUAAAGGCCGUGCUUGGUCCCGGUCCCGGUCCCAAAUGGGCCAUGCCUUGUCCCGGUUCUGUCCCUAUAUCGCCCGUGCCUUGCCCCGGUUCCGUCCCCCCACAUGGGCUGUGCUUUGUCCCGGUUCGGUCCCCAUAUCGUCCGUGCCCUGUCCCGGUUCCGACCCCAUAAAGGCCGUGCCUUGUCCCGGUUCCGUCCCUAUAUCGGCCAUGCCUUGCCCCGGUUCCGACCCCAAAUGGGCCGUGCCCUGUCCCGGUUCCGACCCCAUAAGGGCCGUGCUUGGUCCCGGUCCCAAAUGGGCCAUGCCUUGUCCCGGUUCUGCCCCUAUAUCGCCCGUGCCUUGUCCCGGUUCCGUCACCCCACAUGGGCUGUGCUUUGUCCCGGUUCGGUUCCCAUAUCGGCUGUGCCUUGGUCCGGUUCCGUCCCCCCAUAAAAGCCGUGCUUGGUCCCGGUUCCGACCCCACAAAGGCCGUGCCUUGUCCCGGUUCUGUCCCCAAAUGGGCCGUGCUUUGUCCCGGUUCCGACCCCAUAAAGGCCGUGCCUUGUCCCGGUUCUGUCCCCAAAUGGGCCGUGCCUUGUCCCGGUUCCGACCCCAUAAAGGCCGUGCUUGGUCCCGGUUCGGUCCCCGGUCCCGGUUCCGUCCCCAUAUCAGCCGUGCCCCCCCCCCCAUAAUGACAAGGUCCCGGUCCCGGUUCCGGUUGGGGUUUAUUGGGGGGGUCCCGUCCGGGCUGUUCGCUCCCGAACCCAAUAAAGAUCCUGACGGUACCGAACCGGACCGGACCGAGGGNNNNNNNNNNNNNNNNNNNNNNNNNUGGGGUGGGUAUGGGGUGGUUGUGGGGUAUGGGGUGGGUAUGGGGUGA